CCUAACGAUGAUGUCCAAGUUUUUGGCCGGCAGCCCGUUCAUGAGCAGCUAACGCUUUGAGCAUCCGCCUGGGGAUACGGCCCCAAGGUUAAACUCAAAGGAAUUGACGGGGGCCCGCCCAAGCGGUGGAGCAUGUGUUUAAUUCGAAGCAACGCGCAGAACCUUACCACCCCUUGACAUGGGCGUCGCGGCCUUCCGAGAGGAGGGCCUUCAGUUCGGCUGGACGCCACACAGGUGCUGCAUGGCUGUCGUCAGCUCGUGUCGUGAGAUGUUGGGUUAAGUCCCGCAACGAGCGCAACCCUCGCCCCUAGUUGCCAGCGGUCCGGCCGGGCACUCCAGGGGAACCGCCGGUGAUAAGCCGGAGGAAGGUGGGGAUGACGUCAAGUCCUCAUGGCCCUUACGGGGUGGGCUACACACGUGCUACAAUGGCGGUGACAGUGGGUUAAUCCCCAAAAACCGUCUCAGUUCGGAUUGUCCUCUGCAACUCGAGGGCAUGAAGUCGGAAUCGCUAGUAAUCGCGGAACAGCAUGCCGCGGUGAAUACGUUCCCGGGCCUUGUACACACCGCCCGUCACACCAUGGGAGUUGGGUCUACCCGAAGACGGUGAGCUGACCUCCGCAAGGAGGGGGCAGCCGGCCACGGUAGGCUCAGCGACUGGGGUGAAGUCGUAACAAGGUAGCCGUAG
rnacentral:rRNA from 1 species